rnacentral:rRNA from 1 species
GACGAACGCUGGCGGCGUGCUUAACACAUGCAAGUCGAACGAAGUGGCGAACGGGUGAGUAACGCGUCAUCCACCUGCUCUUCAGAGGGGGACAACAGUUGGAAAUGAUUGCUCAUACCGCAUACUGAAGGUGGGGAUUUCGUCUGAUUAGCUAGUUGGGUGGGUAACGGCCCACCAAGGGGAUGAUCAGUAACCGGUCUGAGAGGAGUAACGGCCACAUGUGGACUUGGGCAACGCCCAGACUCCUACGGGGGGCAGCAGUGGGGAAUCUUCCGCAAUGGACGAAAGUCUGACGGAGCAACUCCGCGUGAGUGAUGACGGCCUUCGGGUUGUAAAGCUCUGUUAAUCGGGACGCGGUACCGGAAUAGAAAGCCACGGCUAACUACGUGCCAGCAGCCGCGGUAAUAC